rnacentral:rRNA from 1 species
CAAAUCUCCAACAUCGACCUCGGAUCAGAUAGGAAUACCCGCUGAACUUAAGCAUAUCAAUAAGCGGAGGAAAAGAAACCAACA